rnacentral:rRNA from 1 species
AGUGAACGCUGGCGGUAGGCCUAACACAUGCAAGUCGAACGGCAGCACAGUAAGAGCUUGCUCUUACGGGUGGCGAGUGGCGGACGGGUGAGGAAUACAUCGGAAUCUACUUUUUCGUGGGGGAUAACGUAGGGAAACUUACGCUAAUACCGCAUACGACCUACGGGUGAAAGCAGGGGAUCUUCGGACCUUGCGCGAUUGAAUGAGCCGAUGUCGGAUUAGCUAGUUGGCGGGGUAAAGGCCCACCAAGGCGACGAUCCGUAGCUGGUCUGAGAGGAUGAUCAGCCACACUGGAACUGAGACACGGUCCAGACUCCUACGGGAGGCAGCAGUGGGGAAUAUUGGACAAUGGGUGCAAGCCUGAUCCAGCAAUACCGCGUGGGUGAAGAAGGCCUUCGGGUUGUAAAGCCCUUUUGUUGGGAAAGAAAAGCAGCAGGUUAAUACCCCGCUAUUCUGACGGUACCCAAAGAAUAAGCACCGGCUAACUUCGUG